CUUCAGUGUUGGUCCAAUGAAGAGUUUCACAAUAUACAGUAUUCAGAAUCAGACAGAAUAUUAUUUCAAAAUGACCAAUCAGGAGUGUCUGCCUGGCAACGUACUGUAUGUUGAUUUGCUAAGUUGUGAAUCACUAGGUUAGGUUGAGUUCAGUACCUACUGAGUGAAAGCUCUUCAUUCUGUGGUUGUCUAUGUCAGGUCGAGACCUGUUUGGAUUACUCUGCUUGAGGGUGUAGUUUUGGAGGUAGAGCACAGUUCCAACAUUCAGUCUCUGGUACCACUCUGGACACAGCUCAUUCUACACGUUGAUCUGCGACCUCGAAGUAAGUCUGGAGCAUGGAGAAAUACACAAAGAGCGCCAAUCCUGAUGAGACACUUCAUACAGACAACAUUCAAAGAAACGUUAACUAUAUUGUCAGGGUUGAGUAGAGAAGAGAUGGUAUAUGUGUAAAGUGUUAUUAUGAUAUAGAUACUACUCACCUGGUUCAGGUAAUCACCAUUGUAAUUCUCACAAUAGUUAGCAACUGAAAUUCUAAUUUUACCAUCCAGAACCUAUACUCUGCCUUCAGGACCCUCAUUAUUCCUGAAAGAGACAGGUAAUGUUUGUGGCCCAUCUGCAGGGGUGCAUCACUUUGCAAUGCCACAAUGUUUCUAAAUCCAUCCUUGGUAACCAUGGGGAGGGAAUCCAAGUCCUUAAUCUUGCGCAAAACAUUAGACUUCUUAAGUGAACCAUGUUCAAUCUUCUCAGUGUAAACACAACCCUGACCAAAUAAUUUCUUAUUGUAAACAAAUGAGCACUGGGUAAUGUUAUUAUAAAUUCCACUGCGAAGAAGGUUUUUGUUGUGUCAAAUAUCUCUGAAGUCAAAUAACAGCAUCAGUUUUGUCAAUUUGAAGUGUAUGAGUUUUUGCUGUAAAGAACUGUCCCAAAGUAGAGUAAGAAAUAUGUCAGAUUCGAUGUUUUUUCAACUUCUUCAGGUAUGGUUCAUUAAUGUGCAUAACAGACCGUGCGCUGGGCGAAAUGGGUUUGUUUACAACAAGUUAGCUAACGUUAGCUGCUAAAAAAAGUACCUAGGUAGCUAUGUAAACACAGUUUAAACAGCCAUUUGCUGACUACUGUACAGCAGCUGACCACGCAAACAAGAGUUACCGUUAACCAUCAACCCAGUGCUAGCUGUAUAUGUCUUGCCAAAUCAAAUCUUGCAGAAAAACGUGACUGUAGUAACUAACUCAGCUGCUAGCCAGCCAGAUAGCUAGCAUGCUAAUGUUACUGAUAUGAUAUCCGUUCUUACGGUUUAUGAUUAGCUAGCUAGCUAACGUUGGCUACUUUUUGACUUAUGAAAAUCACGACAAGUUGGUUGGAAAAGUGUAGCUACAGUAUACUUUCUGGUAGUAGGCCGAAUUUAUCAAAGUUCAGCUUUUGCUUCGGCGCCAGUGGAUUUGAAUAUAGGAAGCUGUCAUUCCACACAUCAGCGACGCCGCACUGACAACGUAGCCUACUACAUACAUACACUAACGUUACAGGACCAAAAGUAUGUGACACCUGCCCGUCGAACAUCUCAUUUCAAAAUCAUGGGCAUUAAUAUGGAGUUGGUACCCCUUUGCUGCUACAACAGCCUCCACUCUUCUGGGAAGGCAUUUCACUAGAUGUUGGAACAUUGCUGCAGGGACUUGCUUCCAUUCAGCCACAAGAGCAUUAUUGGGGUUGGGUGAUUAGGCCUGGCUCGCAGUCAACGUUCCAAUUAAUCCCAAAGGUGUUCGAUGGAGUUGAGGUCAGGGCUCUGUGCAGGCCAGUCAAGUUCUUCCACAGCAAUCUUGACAAACCAUUUCUAUAUGGACCUCACUUUGUGCCAUUGGGCAUUGUCAUGCUGAAACAGGAAAGGGCUUUCCCCAAACUGUUGCCACAAAGUUGAAAGCACAGAAUCGUGUAGAAUGUCGCUGUUUGCAGUAGUGUUAAGAUUUCCCUUCACUGGAACUAAGGUGCCUAGCCCAAACCAUGAAAACAGCCCCAGACCAUUAUUCCUCAUCCACCAAACUUUACAGUUGGUACUAUGUAUUCGGGCAGGUAGAAUUCUCCUGGCAUCCGCCAAAUCCAGAUUUGCCUGUUGGACUGCCAGAUGGUGAAGGGUGAUUCAUCACUCCAGAGAGUUUAAUGGCGGGCGAGCAAUACACCACUCCAGCCGACGCUUGGCAUUGUGUAUGGUGAUCUUAGGCUUGUGUGUGGCUGCUUGGCCAUGGAAACCCAUUUCAUGAAGCUCCUGAUGAACAGUUCUUGUGCUGAUGUUGCUUCCAGAGACAGUUUGGUGUUGCAACCGAUGGCAGACGAUUUUUAUGCGCUUCAGCACUUGGCGGUCCCGUUCUUUGAGCUUGUGCGGCCUACCACUUUGUGACUGGGCCGUUGUUGCUCCUAGACGUUUCCACUUCACAAUAACAGCACUUACAGUUCACGAGGCAGCUCUAGCAGGGUAGAUAUCUGACGAACUGACUUGUUGUAAAGGUGGCAUUCUAUGACAGUGCCACGUUGAAAGUCACUGAGUUCUUCAAUAAGGCCAUUCUACUGACAAUGUUUGUCUGUGGAGAUUGCAUGGCCGUGUGCUCGAUUUUAUACACCUGUCAGUAACCUGUCAGUAACGGUUGUGGCUGAAAUAACCAAAUCCUUUAAUUUGAAGUUGUGUCCACAUACUUUUGUAUAUAUAGGGUAUUUUAACAGGACUGGAUUCCUUUCAGAGUUACAUCAGAGAGAAUAAACUUCAGUUAUACAUGAAUGAAAACACGCAGAAUAAAGUGCACAAAAUGCAUGUUUUUUUUUAUAUUUAUUUUUAAAGAUACCACAUUAUCAAGAUUAAUAGAUUUAUAAAUAAUUCAAUAUCACUAUCACAUAAUUAAUAUCCAAGCUGUUUCAGAAUGUAAACUUUUUAUUUGUUUAUUUUUAAACAAUAUUAACAAUAUGUUAAAGCUUAUUUUUGAUGGUAUAUACAGACAGAAAAAAACAAGCCAUACAAUAGACUGUGAAACACCAUAACACCAACUUGCUGAACUGAAGAAAAUAAUAACCUCACCUCCCCAAAUAAGACACUUCAAUAAUCUGUUACAAAAUACUUCUGUUUGUUUUACUUUCAAAUCAUGUAACAUAUAUUCAAUCUAUUUGACAUCUCAUAAAAUAAACAACUAUAUAAUCUCAACAUGUUUUGUACAUUCUAUAAUACAAUAUUUUCAAUUCGUUUUCUGCAAUGCAAUGGCUAAUAUGUACCAGGUUCGGUUUUUGUUUGUCUUACUUUUUCCUGGCAAAUGUUUUACAGUAUGCAUUGAUUGACCCUCCACCCCAUAUACUGCAAGGAUGCACAGUCCACUCUAAAGGUCACAAAUGCAAAAGUCAAAGUAACAUGAUGCCUUUAAAAAAAGAAUGACACUUGAUGAAGAAUUCAUGAACAUAAAAAUAUAGUCUGAAACGGUGAAACAAAAAGUGCAUAAUCUACUGCUGGGGGAGACGGAUUAAACAGAAUCAUAGAAACAGCCAGUACCAUUUGAUCUAACGCAGCAAUCACAAUGAACAAACACACAUACCAAUAAACAUGAACAUUUGUAUAAACUGAAGCAAUACACAGCAAACACACAAUGGCUCUCAGCAUAACCUUAAAUGUAGGAAAUCAUCUGUGGCACUGGGUUAAUGGAAAUGAAUAACUGCCUCUGGUUUCAAAUGGGGUCAACUAAUGCAAAUUCUUUACAUACGAUGGUUAGCUGGAGAGUACACUGGACACUUGUGAGAACAUGGUUUACUGUUAUUCUAUGAGCUUGAUAUUUAAACAUACACUACAUGUUCCUUCAACCAGCUUCAAAAGGCAGUCUACCUUAUGAUUGGACAUUGAGCACACUGAACCAACAACAGUUUUUAUGAUAAGGUUGAGUGGAGGACAACCUAGGGAGUCGUUUUGCUGACAAUCAACAAACAGUAUUUUAAAAUGAUGCAGCAUUAAUAGGACAGUUGUCUAAACAAAUCUGCAUGUAGGUCUUGAAUAGAGUCAAUGUUGUGUCUUUAGAGUAAUAACAAACUGACACAGUAAUGAUGUUGAAACAAUGUGUUGCUCAUAUCACUUAAAACAAUGUUUACGUUGGGCUGACCCCAGCAAUAGGCCAACACAAGUUCUACUGAAAAAUAGAAUGGCUCCCUUUUCCCUCAUGCCAGCAUCAUUCUCAGACCAGUUGACCUGAGUCUUUAGUGUGGAUUAGUCAUUCUAACAAAGUAUUUAGCAGAUACAAGCUGUACCUCAGUAAAGAUACUGCUUAUAUUUAUGGUUGAAGGAAUGUUAAAGAUAUUUUAAUACAAAAAUAUUUCCAUUUCAUUCACAUAGUAGUAUAGUAUACAACUAUAUCUCUUUUACAUGAGUACAAACCUGCCUAGAAACUUUUUUUCUUCAAAAUUGACAUUGCACAUAGUAAAAGGGUAAAACAGCACAUACUUUAAGCAUUCUACAACUUUCUUUAAGCAUCUCUUCAACCUAAAUGAACAGCACCAGUCUUCAUGAGAGUGACUGUGACAGAUGAAGUGAUAGUGACUCAAUGUACACAGCAGAGACUGCUAGGAUUGUCAUUAACAUUGUACAGUUAAAGAUUGUUAUUACUCCGCAAUGCAUUUCAACCUUCAUGUCAAAGGGCACAUUUAGUUUGAUUGGAAUUCCAAUAUGAUGUUACAUUUUGUUAUGGCUAGUGACUUAAUCAUGUAAAGGAAUUUUGAGGCAUACAUACAGAAGGUCUGUUUGACGGAUGUUUCACAGAAGGACUUUCCCAUUCAAAUAUUACAAUAUCUAAUGAACGUGGGGGAACUCCAAUCUGAUACUAAUGAUGUAGUUAUUUAGCUAAUGUAACUUUAAAGAAAAUAAGAAGAAAUAUGUAGUAUUAUUUGAUUGUCAUUUAUAUUAGCAGGUCAUUUAUCUCUGGUUAGUAUUUUGUUAUUACACAGUUUUCCUGAAAUCACCAGAGUGUAUGGACACAAUAACUCAUACAUGGAUAAAUCCACUAAUAGACUCCCUCCUACCAAAUAUAUAUAUAUUAACCGACUAGCAAAUAUAAACCAUGUAACCAGAAAAUUAUGACAAGUUGUUAAUGUAAUACUGAGAAUAAAUGUGUGAUUAUUAAUAAUUUGUGGUUAUUUCCACAAAUAACCUGAGAAGAAAAUUGCGUUACGAAAGCAUACAUAAUCAAUGUAUGACAAUUACAAUAUAUUAGUGACAUCUUCUUAAUCAUUGCAGCAUCUGUUACAUUUGAUACAAAACAAUAAGUAAAAUAGUCCUUGGUUAGUAGUUUAUGGUUGUGAGCCAUUUAAGGCAUUAGGACCCUACCCACUGGGCACAAACUGGUUGAAUCAACAUUGUUUCAAUGUAAUUUGUCAACGUAUUGUGAUGUGGACUCUACAUGGAAAUAACAUUGGAUUUGUAAAAGUCAAAGUCAUCAAACUGUUGUUCAGAGGCUGAAAUUCCAACCACAGGAUUAUGCCAUCAUUGUAAGCCAUUUUCAACAUAGAAACCUUGUAUAAAAUGUCGAACAUGUACCUUUAACACAACAUCAGAUCUUCGACGUUAUAUCCACCAUUAAAAAAAAAAAUUAUAGGCUGGGCAGCACCUCCUACUGGAGAGUUGCUCCAUCUACAGUACAGCUAUUCAUUUGGUCUCCCAUGCAGGGUUUUAACCAAGCCCAGCUUUGAUAUUUGUCACUGACUACUACCAAUGUGCUAUCGUGAGAAUGAUUAUUGAGACCUCUUAAUAACAAAAUAUAUUCACUGUUGCUAUCGAAGUCAUUCCAAUGGGUAGGUUUAACAGAUCAAAUUAAAUGUAACCAUACUUUAUAAAUCAUACAGUAUAUCAUCAAUUAAUACUAGUUAGGCAUAUAUAGCAUUUAAAAACUCAUCAACAGCUAUUGUUUCAAUUCAACCCCGGGUUCAACAAAAUAUAGACAAUACAUAUAGGCCUAGGGUUUCAAGCUUGGAGAGAUUGGAAACCCAAAUUGGUCUACACGGACAAGUUCUGGCCUGGUUUAGAUCUUAUCUGUCGGAAAGAUAUCAGUUUGUCUCUGUGAAUGGUUUGUCCUCUGACAAAUCAAUUGUAAAUUUCGGUGUUCCUCAAGGUUCCGUUUUAGGACCACUAUUGUUUUCACUAUAUAUUUUACCUCUUGGGGAUGUCAUUCGAAAACAUAAUGUUAAAUUUCACUGCUAUGCGGAUGACACACAGCU
rnacentral:lncRNA from 1 species